CUAAGAAUAUUCCGCAAUGGGGGAAACCCUGACGGAGCGACGCUGCGUGGACGAGGAAGGCCGGAAGGUUGUAAAGUCCUUUUGAACCGGAAGAAUAAGCAGUGCAGGGAAUGGCAGUGUGGUGACGGUACGGUUUGAAUAAGAGGCGGCUAAUUACGUGCCAGCAGCCGCGGUAACACGUAAGCCUCGAGCGUUGUUCGGAAUUAUUGGGCGUAAAGGGCAUGUAGGCGGUAAUCUAAGCUUGGUGUGAAAGGCAGGGGCGUUAACUCCUGGACAGCAUUGAGAACUGGAUUGCUAGAGUUACUGAAGUGAAAUCAGAAUUCCAGGUGUAGGGGUGAAAUCU
rnacentral:rRNA from 1 species